rnacentral:SRP_RNA from 15 species
CCGGAAGGCAGCAACGCCAAGUGAAUU